CCUGCCGCAACGAUCUGAUGUGGGCUGGAUUUCUGGCGUCCUAUUUUGUUUCGGGCUUCACAGUAAUAAUUCCCACUGUGAUUAGCUCUGAACUCAGUGAUGGUGAAGGUCUGUCCUGAAGCGUUUGCUGAGUCUUCACUCUCUUUGUACCAGGUGUAAGUAGCUGCAGGGUUAGCAUCACUGCUGCAGGUCAGAGUCACAUGAUUACCCUCCACUAUCUCAGCAGAGGGACUCACUGACACAGAGGGACGUUUUGGAGCAUCUGGAAGAGAUCGAAAGAAAACUUUACAUGGAGACUUAAGCCAUUAAGAAGAGUUUUGUACCAGGUGAUCUAACUUUGUAAUGUCUUCUACUCACACUGGAUAUCUAGUGAGAGAGGGGGAGAUACAUGUGAUCCAUAUUGAUUCUCAGAUCUGCAGUUGUAUCUCCCUCUGUCCAGAUGGCUGAUGUUGAGAAAAGUAUAAAUUCCUCCUGUUGACUGAAACGUGGUGUUGUUCUCCUUGUACCAGGUGGAACGUGGUGCUGGGUUGGCGUAACUGAUACAGGUCAGAGUCACUGAACUGCCCUCCACUAUCUCAGAAGAGGGACUCACAGACACAUAAGAGAACUUUGGAGCAUCUGAAGACGGAUAAAAACAGAAAUGACAAAGAAACAAACACAGAAUAAAAAUCAUUUCUGGGAUAUGGUUGUGUAUGGUUUUCAUCCUUCUGUUCCUCUUUAAAUGUGACUUUUUACUCACAUUUCACAUAGACUAAGACGUCCCUAGAGGACCCGGUGAUGCCCCUCACUUCACAAUAAUACUGUCCAGAGUCUGAGGACUGAAUGGAGCUGAAUACAAGCUGAUUUCCUUUUCUGAGACUCAGACUUAGACGUCCACUUCUUCUGUACCAGGUAUAAGUAGCAUCUGGCUUAGCAUCACUGCUGCAGGUCAGAGUCACAUGAUUACCCUCCACUAUCUCAGCAGAGGGACUCACUGACACAGAGGGACGUUUUGGAUCAUCUGGAAAUGGAUUUAAUCAAAGUUGGUAAAUUAAACUUGCAAAUAAACAUAUAAAAGAAGAAAUUUUGUCUCAGUGCUUUUUGUUCAAAUACAGGAUAAAACUGUUUUGAGGUAUUGUUGUGUAGUUUAUUGUCUUUCUAAUGUGUUUGAACUGUGAUGUUUCACACACAUGUCAAACCAGCCAAGAUGUUCCCCAAUAUCUGCGUCCCAAAGAUGUUCCUCACUUCACAGUAAUACUGUCCAAAGUCUGAGGACUUGAUGGAGCUGAAGACAAGCUGAGGUCCUCUCCUGAGACGCAGAGGAUGUAGAAGUUCAUUUCUUUGAUACCAGGUAUAACUGGAUUCUACAUUAGCACCACUGCUGCAGGUCAGAGUCACAUUUUUUCCCUCCAUUAUCUCAGCAGAGGAACUCACUGACACAGAGGGAGGCUCGAAAGCAUCUGAAGAAGAAACACAUUUUACAGUUAACAUUUCAGUCACUGAUGUACUUGGUUUAUGCUCUCUGUCCUUUAACAACUCUUUACUAUUGAGUUUUUACUCUGAGCAUCACAGAUAUGAGAUGUUUUUUAAAGUGGAAAUGUUAGCCACAGACCAGAGAGUCAGGGCACGCACUAAAUUUUAAAACCUCCAUCAGAUAGUGUUGUGUUAGAGGAAAGGGAGGGGUAAACUCACACACUGAAGGAGAGGGGAAGUCCUCAUAUCCUUCUACAGCACAGGAAAAUCUGUCUGUGUUCAGAGUCUGGUCUGGUUGAUGAUAUUUUGAAUUUUGGUUCUUAAUUUUUUCUCCAUUCUUGAACCAAAUGUAUCGAAAAUCUUGACGACAACGGCUGAGACACCUCAACUGCAAAUGCCCACCUGGUCUGUUCACCCUUAUCUGGACAUCUGAUCAGAUAAAACUGUCAGUACUUUCCACAUAAACAUACACAUAAUAUAAUCAUUUACACGAUUUUCAAAAAGAUAAAAGAUGAAAAAUUUCAGAGAAAACUUUACCUCUGACAGACAGGGUGACACCUGGGUAGCCAAAAUAUUUGUCCACGCUUGUCUCCAUCCUGAACUUGUAUUCAGCUGAGUCACUCCCUGUCAGGUUUGUGAUUGUCAAGGUGGAUCUGGUCCCAUCAUACGUGGUCUUCACACGACCUGAAUACUCUGAGUCUGUUUCAAUGUUUAGAAACUCAUCACCACGUUUCCUAAUAAACCAAAAUGUUUUUAAGAGUUUGUUCUGCUUCCUCUCCAUUGUUUUUGGGUACUUAAAGUUGCAGCUUAUUUCCACAGUUGAUCCUCUGGAGACACAGAUCUGAGCUGUAGAGUAAGUCACCUCCCAGCCGUUCUGAGGCUGAGCCACUAAAACACAAAAAUCAGAGAACACAGUCAAUUUAACCAGACCAGGAAAAGUUUAAGACUGAACAUGAAAUAAAUAAAUCUGAACCAGAUCAUUGAGGUGCAGUCCGACAUCAUCUUGAUAUAACAAUCACAUGUAAGAUAUUUUUGUCAGGUUUAGCUUUUUUCUCUGUUUGAUAUUAGAUUUUAAACUACUUAUCAAAAUAUCUGAGAGAAGAUUUAUCCAUACUGAAAAAUUACAGAUGUUUAUAUUCAUCAACACUUCUCUAACCCAACAGCAUUAUUAACAGUGUAAAUUAUUUGACAGAUUGUGCUGUUCUGUGAAAGUUUUCUCUGUGCAAAGUUAGCUGCCCAGUCAAGUGUGUAUCUAAAAAUAAAUGCAGAAGUCUAAGGGGUGAGAAACUGUACAGCAGCUAAUACUCAAUGAUUAGAUAAGUGCUGUCAAUGCAGCAUCAGCAUGGAAAUAUAACACCUAUGAAGAGGAACAGACAGGGUUGUUGCAGAUGUGUUGUAAUAAAUGAGUCCCUGAGACACUAGCCUGACUGCAAAACUAGUAUCCACUAAAAAACUCAAAAAGUGAUUUCAAUACAGCAAAUUACAAUCAGAAUUUUGGAGAAAAAACUGCAGGUUCUGCAAACAGAGUCUGUUUUUGAUCAAAUUAAAAAGGAAAAGCUGUAGAUAUGAAGUACCUGAUACAGAGAGGAGAAGGAUGAAUCCACUCACUGCUGCAGUUAAACUCAUCUCUGCUCCUCUCUCCUUUCUCUGGGACUUUAGGGAUGAUAACACAAGUCAAAAAUGUGACAUGAAAAGCACACAGGAGAUGAAAAAGUAUCAGACAUUUCAUUAAACUAUUCUACUUACAAAUAUGACCAGCGUUGUGUUUUGAAGGGUGUCUUUUCUCUGCAGUCCGUGAGCAGAAGGCGGAAACUGAAGUGUGAAACAGACCAAAAAAGCCCUUCCUUUUUAAAUGAUAACAUAAAUGUUGAUUCAAACACCAAUAAGAGACCACACCUUAAAGAAGCUGUUUUUCAUCAACUUAAUCCUCUUGAAAUGGUUAAGUUUGUCCUAUCUUUUGAUUUUAUUUUAACAUCAGUAUCGACACGUUAUCUCCAUUAGUUGAGGAAGGAUGUCAAAAAGUCUGUGGGUGAACAAAGUUGAAUCAAAAACCUCAAAGAAUGGGAGAAAAAAACUAAUCUGUGUGAGCGGAUUACACUUGAACGUCAACAGAAGUGUUUUUUUUUUUUUUUUUUUUGGGGGGGGGGUGUUGUAAUCCUUUGAAUCAGAGAGUAAAUAGAGUGUCACACAAACAACAAAUAGUAGAGUCAGGAUGUUGCGUUCAACCUCCAGUCAAACUCUCAUAGAGCUCGUUGUCACAAGAAAGGAUUAUCAAAAAUGUAACAUACAUCGAUCAUCCCAUAAAUAUUCUCAGUCACUACAAGAUAAAGAUGCAAUCAAUUAAAAAGAUCACUUAGAGUUACUGCUUAUGUGGCACUAUGCGUUAUUGAAGGCAUUGAAAUAGUCAAACCCCCAUUUUAUUUAUAUGAAUAAAGUUCACGUGCAAUACUAAAACUACUGUAGCGUCUAUUUUCCUGUAAGAUAGUGUAAUAUAUGUUUCACCAGCAGGGGGCACUCGGUACCUCACCUAGCGGAUAGCUGAUGCAACAGCAGGAGAAGUCCAGUCAGUGUCUGAGGAUGAAGCGUUCAGACCAUAGACUGUAUAUACUUUGGACAACUUGGUUCCACCUUCUGCCAGUAUACGGAUUUGAAGCCAAAAAGCUCUCUGUGAUUCUGCAUUUUUUUCUCCACUUCCUGAAACCAACAUUGCACAUAGGCUGUAUCAAGUGUCAAUCAUAGAAAACAUGAACCACCUAAUAACUUUUAAAAAUGGAGCUGCACAGAAAAAAGAGGACUUGAGCACAAACCAGUCUUACAGUAGCUACAUGUCAACAUCACAGUUAGGGGGGAGAAGAAUUUAUAUUUUGUGUAAUAAAUUUCUAAAGUUUGUCCACAGACCCCAUAAGGAUGGCUGGUGGGGGCAGGAUUUAUGACCUAUACUGCAGCCUGUCACCAGAGGGCGCUGUUCUUGGGGUGGCUUCACCCAGCGAGGAGGCAGAUGGCGUCCAUUUUAUAUACAGUCAAUGGUACAGGCACAGCAUAGAGUACGCUCCUAUUAAUGACUGUUUUUAUGUGUUUGCAGGUUAGCUGGUUCAGAAAUACUAUAAAAGUAAUGGACAACAGUAAUAAUAUAUCUUAAGUGCCUUGGAGUGUAACAGACGUCGAGCUAAAGAGUGAAUUCACAAGCUCAUGGGUUUGUAAAGGCGACUCGCUGGAUUGUGUAUCUGUAAUGGUGGACUCGUAGUCCAUGGCAAUCGUGGUCAUGAACCAGAGGACUGAAUUAUGUCUCUUUUGAGUUUAAAGGAUAGGCUAACUACUGAGAGAUACACAUUACAGCUGUAAAAAUAUAAGUUUAUAUCAAGAACCCGUAUUAAGUCGAUUAAGUUUUUUCUGUGGGGAGGUGCUUGUGUGGAGUUGAGCUGAGUGAGGGGCUGGGCUGGGCUGGCAGGUGCGGCUGUGGUGCCAUGCUAUGGUCCAGUUAGUAGACCGCAAUGGGAGUCUGUAUUGUGCACGCUUGUAUUUUAGGUUAAAGCCACACUGUGUGUUUUCAUUGUGGGAAGAGGGAAAGUAAAACACUUUAUGUUCAGUGUAUUAAGGGACAGUGCAGUGUUAAUACAUUAAAAGACAUUGAUUUGAAAUAGAUUUACUUAACUAAAGAUCAGUUAUACAGUUCAUAAAGGAGAUGUAAUGGUUAAAAUAGUAUAAAUAUUGAGACAGUAAUGUCAUGGAUUUUAUUUCAACACCACUGUAGUAUUGUGUUGCUUUAAGAGUUGUUUUACAGUGCAAGUGUAGAGUGUUUAUCAUAAAACAGAGAAGUCCAGUCAGUGUGUGAGGAUGAAGCGUAAAGACACAGAACAGAGUGCGCUCCUAUUAAUGACUGUUUUUAUGUUUUUGCAGUUCCUGUAAGAAUAAAUAUGCUACACAGGAGAUGAGUUGGCCCAUCAUUUUGGACAGUGAAAUAUUAGAGGGGCUGGACCAACAGAUCUGCCAAAGUCUUGUUGACAGGACUUUUUUUUAACUACCUGGAAGGUGAAACACACUGCAUCUGCGUACAAUCACAAAAAAAAGAUUAAGACAGUGAGAAUGAAUCUGAAGUUGGUCUGUUAUCUCUGUGGAGGAGGUCAGACUCUCUGUAGAAACUGUUAUAAACCAAGACACAGAGGAGAGAACACAAUUGCACAACACCAGAUCAGUUGGUCCAAAAGACAAGGAUUUAUUGUAAAACAGCAAGGUCAGAAAUAAAGCAGGCAAAGGUAACACAUGACUUGACUAAAACUAUGCAUAAUGCUGGAACGUGACUAUAAAGUGCAACGAACUGGUGACGAGACAGUGAGAUGCAUGAGAUUAAAUACAAGAGGUAGUGAGGGUGAUGGGGAACAGGUGGGGAAACACAAUCAGGCAGCAGGUGUGACAAAACGAGGGCAGACCAGACAGGAACAAAGCUAGAAGACAGAAACAAGAGUUGGUGAACUACAAAAUAAAACAGGAAAUACAUGACAUGAAACAAAACAUGAAUGUGCAAAAAUAAAGGAAACUUAACCAACAUGACAAAAGUAAGAGUUUGAAACAUCUUAUUUUUGACUGAGAGAACAUGUGCAGCAAAGGAUCAUGGGCGGGAGUUGAACCAGCAACCGCUCAACAGGAGACUCCAGUCUAGUGAUGGGACCAGUACACCAUCAGCACCACUGGAGACACCCCACCCUGACUGGAUUUCACACCCUGUCUUCCUGCUACUCUAUGUCUUCAGUCUGUGCUGCAGUGACCGCUGAGACUUUCUCAUUCUCAUGAGCAGAGUCCAGCUGAGGACAGAUGAAGAGAGUUGAUCAUCUUUGAAAGUAUUUUAGUCCCAUUUUGAAACUUUGAUCCUGACAUCUUUGAACAGGUCUGUAAAGAUAUUUUGUCAGCAGUCGGUCUCACCUCUAUCAUCUCUGCAGGUUCACUUGGUUCAGUGUUGGAGUUCAGAGGUUUCUUCUUCCUGGAUUAUUACAUUUGAGAACAGUCAGUUUUACAGUGAUAGAGAGAAAAUAAAUUAAACUAUGAACCAAGUGAAGAAGCUCAUAAAAGAAACGUGUUUGAAUUGAUGGAGUUUUAUGGUUUUACCUUGUCAACAGACUCACGAGAGGUGGAGGAAUCAACAUCAAAAAGAACAGGGUAAACCUGAUGCUAAUUAUGGUUGUUAUUGUUGAUUUCCCUUGAAUGAAAGAAGAGAGAUAUGUGAGACACAUUACUAACAGAAUCAGACUGGUCUAUAUCUUUAGCUCUGUCUGAGACUCUGUUGAGCCAGAAUCUGACAUGGAGGUCCCUCCAUGAAUUAUUCACUUUAGUCAGUUUUAAGAUCUGAUUCAGAGAAAACAUGUUUGUGAAGGAAAAAAUUAAUUAAUCAAAUAUAUCAUGAGCUGCUUUGAGUAUUCAGGGUGAGCUCUCUGUGUGCAGGUGUGUAAAUAUCUCACCUGCCGCAACGAUCUGAUGUGGGCUGGAUUUCUGGUGUCCUAUUUUGUUUCGGGCUUCACAGUAAUAAUUCCCACUGUGAUUAGCUCUGAACUCAGUGAUGGUGAGGGUCUGUCCUGAAGCGUUUGCUGAGUCUUCACUCUCUUUGUACCAGGUAUAAGUAGCUGCAGGGUUAGCAUCACUGCUGCAGGUCAGAGUCACAUGAUUACCC